GAUGAACGCUGGCGGCGUGCCUAAUACAUGCAAGUCGAGCGAACAGACGAGGAGCUUGCUCCUCUGACGUUAGCGGCGGACGGGUGAGUAACACGUGGAUAACCUACCUAUAAGACUGGGAUAACUUCGGGAAACCGGAGCUAAUACCGGAUAAUAUAUUGAACCGCAUGGUUCAAUAGUGAAAGACGGUUUUGCUGUCACUUAUAGAUGGAUCCGCGCCGCAUUAGCUAGUUGGUAAGGUAACGGCUUACCAAGGCAACGAUGCGUAGCCGACCUGAGAGGGUGAUGGGCACCACGGGACCUGAGAAACGGUCCAGACUCCUACGGGAGGAAGCAGUAGGGAAUCUUCCGAAAUGGGCGAAAGCCUGACGGAGAAACGCCGCGUGGGGGAUGAAGGUCUUCGGAUCGUAAACUCUGUUAUUAGGGAAGAACAAAUGUGUAAGUAACUAUGCACGUCUUGACGGUACCUAAUCAGAAAGCCACGGCUAACUACGUG
rnacentral:rRNA from 1 species